GUUGAGUUGAGUUGAGUUUUUAUCAGGAAUUGGUGGGCUGACCUCACUGGGGCCCCCUAAGUGUGCCUCAAUGAGGUCGUGAGCCUUUUCUGCUCUGAGGCAUUACCCUUUGCGCCCAGCACCUCAAGUGUGCCUUUAACAGCAUUGUAUGCACCAAUGCAAUUCAUAGAAUUUAUAAGAUGAUCCUAUGAAUUACUAAUAAUAUAUUUAUGCAUCUCUUUCUUUGAAUUAAGCAUAUGAAGCAAAAUUAUAAAAUGACAACAAUUUUAACAUUCAAAAGUACUUCAACUCAUAAUCAUAUAACAAUCAAGAGAAGACAUGAUAUAGAUCUUACUAGUGGUAUAUUGA
rnacentral:misc_RNA from 1 species